rnacentral:rRNA from 1 species
UUUUAUGGAGAGUUUGAUCCUGGCUCAGGAUGAACGCUGGCGGCGUGCCUAAUACAUGCAAGUCGAGCGAACAGACGAGGAGCUUGCUCCUCUGACGUUAGCGGCGGACGGGUGAGUAACACGUGGAUAACCUACCUAUAAGACUGGGAUAAC